GACGAACGCUGGCGGCGUGCUUAACACAUGCAAGUCGAGCGGAAAGGCCACUUCGGUGGUACUCGAGCGGCGAACGGGUGAGUAACACGUGAGUAAUCUGCCCCUCACUUUGGGAUAGCCACCGGAAACGGUGAUUAAUACCGGAUAUGACCAUAUGUCGCAUGGCGUGUGGUGGAAAGUUUUUCGGUGAGGGAUGUGCUCGCGGCCUAUCAGCUUGAUGGUGAGGUAAUGGCUCACCAUGGCUUCGACGGGUAGCCGGCCUGAGAGGGUGACCGGGCACACUGGUACUGAGACACGGCCCAGACGCCUACGGGAGGCAGCAGGGGGGAAUAUUGGACAAUGGGCGGAAGCCUGAUCCAGCAACGCCGCGUGAGGGAUGACGGCCUUCGGGUUGUAAACCUCUUUCAGUACCGACGAAGCGCAAGUGACGGUAGGUACAGAAGAAGCACCGGCCAACUACGUG
rnacentral:rRNA from 1 species